GUAGAGUUUUGAUCAACAAAACACCAAGCAGCACCGAUUUGCUACCAAAAACCACCAGAUGGGUAAAAACACCACUUCCAACUUCGAGGCAAACAAAACAAGAGCAGUAUGGGGAGAUCCAAGUUGGACAACUACUUUUUGUAACCUUUGUGUGGAAGAGAUUGAAGCUGGGAAUAAAGGAAUCUUUGCUGCCUUAAGUGCCAAAGGUUGGAGCAAUUUAGUAAUCAAAUUUUGUGAUGAGACUGGUCUAAACUAUGAUAAGGAACAAUUAAAAUGUAGGUGGGAUGUAUUAAAAGCAGAUUGGAGAGUGUGGGAAAAAUUGAAGGGUCUUGACACAAAUUUAGGUUGGGAUGCAGUGAAGGGAACAAUUGAUGCUAGUGAUGAUUGGUGGGACAUGAAGUUGAAGAUGAGUUGAGUAUUUUAUUAAUAUGUAGCUAGUUUGAAAUAGUUAUGUAUAUUAUUGUAAUAUGAGUGAAAUGACAAUUACAUUUUGUAGGAAGUACCCAAAGCUUCAAAAUUUCGACAUAAAGGUCUACAAAAUCUACAACAACUUGAUAGAAUGUUUAGGGAUGUUGCAGCAACCGGAGCAGAACUCAUGUAGUACAAUUUUUUUUUUUAUAUUUUUAUGUAGUACAAUUUAAACUUGGAUUAUUGAUAUGUAUUUUAUUAUCUUUUUACAUUUUUAUGUAGUACAAUUUAAACUUAGAUUAUUGGUGUAUAUUUUAUCAUCUUUUUACAUUUUCA